rnacentral:lncRNA from 1 species
GUAAAAAGCAAAUGGAGAAGCAGCUCGAGCAGUUGGAGAUAUUAUACCCUGACAAGGCCAGAGGAGUUGCAAAAUUUAAUGUUCCAUUAGCCCAUAUGAUUACGGCCGGUGCUGAUUUCAUGAUUGUUCCUAGUAGAUUUGAACCCUGUGGUCUCAUCCAAUUACACGCAAUGCGCUAUGGAACUGUAAAAUAAACCCAAAUUAUCUCCUCCAUCACUACAUUAUAACUGUUUUGAGUUCCAUCAUAUAGCAUUUAACCAUCUACUGCAGGUACCUAUUGUUGCGUCAACUGGUGGGCUAAUGGAUACGGUUAAAGAAGGUUUUACAGGGUUUCAAAUGGGAGCUUUCAAUGUUGAAGUAAGAAUCUUCUUUUUACAUAUAACAACCAGAAGAUUUUGUUUCCAAAUUAUGCUCAAUCUAAUACGAUGCAUUUCCAGUGCGAAACAGUUGAUCCAGCAGAUGUGAUGGCAAUAGUGACCACUGUGAAAAAGGCAAUAACAACUUAUAGUACUUCAGCUUUCACCAAGAUGAUCAUGAACUGCAUGGAUCAAGAUCUAUCAUGGAAGGUUAGCUUAAAAUAAUACACUUCUGCAAAUUUUGUUGCCUGAAACUACCAAAUAUGGUGAUACAUGCAAUCAGACUCAUAUAGCUUGGUGAUAAUAGAAGUAAAUUUUGACUUUACUCAGGGACCUGCGAAAAAAUGGGAGGAGAUGUUGCUAGGUUUGGGGGUCGCUGGGAGUGAACCUGGAAUUGAAGGUGAUGAAAUAGCACCUUUAGCAAAGGAAAAUGUUGCCACUCCAUGAGGAUACAGGCUUUAAGCCCGGAGCCAUGCUGCUCCACCUCACCACUGGCACUGACAGAAGAUUUUGUGCCUAUUUUUUGCUCUUGCACCAUCUCGCUAUAUAUUCUGGCCUUUAAGAAAGCAGGUGAAUCGAACUGUCUGUAGUUUUAAUGAAAUAAUCAUAAUACAUUUUCCAACUAUCCACCGGAAAGUGCAAUGCUAGUCUGUAGAGUUCUUGUCUAUCACCUCAACGAUUUAUAUACUCGUGUUAUUGCGUUUAUUGUACUGUAGUGUACAUGCAGACAUUCGAUAUUUAAAUGUAGUCGAUUCAGUAUGAUUGACGGCAUGAUUUCUAUUACAUUUAAAAGUAAUAUUUACUUUGAGAAUGGAAGCAGUCUGAUCAACACAAAAAGGACAGCAAUUUUUGUAGCAGCCUUUUGUCUAACAAAAUAAUCGGGAUGCUUGAGCCUUGAAGUAGUCAUCACUAAUUAGACCGCAAUUUAGCAUAGUAGUAUUGCUUCUAAAGUUCUGCGGGUCUAUGGAGUUUAAUGUUCAGCUGUUGAAGCUUCGAGAUAUUUUUCCUUGUGGUAAAUAAUUUGUCCUUCAUUUUCUAGCUAGUAAAUUUAUAAUAUCAAGUUGUAUUAUUAUAUAACCGCAUUAUCAGACACCUUGAGAGAAUUUUGAUCAAAGCAUGCCGAUGUGGAUUCUUGAAUUUGAAGGAAAGCAAUUUUAGACAGCAGUGGGCUCACUAAAUUGCUUAGUCUUGACUACCUUAGGAAAUGUUCUUCAACUACAGCACCCUCCUAUUUUACGCCAUCCCGAUAUAAGUAUGUACGGGCAGGGAUAUACUAUUUGGCCAUAGUUGUUAUGAUGUUUGAGCUAGGUAGAUACAGAAGUAGAAUUCUAAGAGAUGCGCUGUGGAAGUGCUUGCUUUUGCUGAUGUGUGUGCUAGUGAGGAGUAGUCCUCCGGAAAAUCCUAUAAGAUGUACAACGUUCAACAGCUCGACAAAAUGCACCAUUACCAACUCGUAUGGUGCUUUCCCUGAUCGUAGUACUUGUCGUGCAGCUGAUGCUGUUUACCCGACAACGGAGGAAGAACUUGUUUCUGUGGUGGCCAUGGCAACGAAGAAUGGGAGAAAGAUGAAGGUGGCGACUCGGUUUGGCCACAGUAUUCCGAAAUUGGUCUGUGCUGAUGGGGACCAAGGGCUGCUCAUAAGCACCGAGUAUCUCAACCGUACCUUGCAUAUCAAUGAAUCGAGUGGGAUGAUGAGAGUUGAGACCGGUGUAACGUUGAAGCAGCUGAUUGAAGAUGCAGCCAAGGCAGGGCUGGCACUUCCAUAUGCACCAUAUUGGUGGGGAUUGACCGUCGGGGGGCUUAUGGGCACGGGUGCCCAUGGUAGCAGCCUUUGGGGCAAGGGGAGUUCUGUUCAUGACUAUGUUGUUCAGCUACGCAUCGUUACUCCAGCUGAACACGCGGAUGGCUAUGCAAGGGUUCGGAAUCUUGAUGAUUAUAAUCAACUUGAGUUCAAUGCCGCUAAGGUCUCCCUUGGAGUUCUUGGAGUUAUUUCAGAGGUUACUCUGAAACUAGAACCGCUAUUCAAACGAUCUGUCACCUACAUAGAGAAAAGUGAUUCUGAUUUAGCAGAACAAGUUAUCGAGUUCGGGAAGCAGCACGAAUUUGCAGACUUGAUAUGGUACCCAAGUCAACGUAAGGCCAUGUAUAGAAUGGAUGAUCGAGUCCCCUAUAACACCUCCGGUAAUGCCUGGAUCGACUUCCCGGGAUUUCAAUCCACCCCUUCAGUCGCACUCGCCAUUUUACGGCUAACAGGUAGGUAACCUAUUCACUAAUACUUGCAGUGUAAUUGCAUAUAAAGUAAAUGACUAAAUCUUUUCAUCGUUUCAUUUGUAACGAAUAAUAGAGGAAGCUGAAGAAUCUAAAGCUGAUGCUGAUUCAAAAUGCAGGAGGGCCAAGCUUAUUACAUCUGCGCUCAGGCUUAGUGGCUACGGGUUUACAAAUAAUGGUAUGCACAUUGAAAAUGUGUUCGGUCUGUUAAAUAAGAAAAGUUUUCUGUUCAUUAGGUAGUUAAAGUAUGUCGGGUUUUAUAAUCACCAAAAAUUUCUGGGGAUAUUCAUCAUCUUUCUUUGAUGCUAUUUUAAACAGGUAUAAUCUUUACAGGAUACCCGGUAAUUGGAUACCACAACCGCCUCCAAGCAUCAGGAGCUUGCCUCACUGGCCCUGAAAAUGCACUGAUCACCGCGUGUCCAUGGGACCAUAGAAUCAAAGCCCUGUUCUAUCAUCAAACGACCUUCAGCAUUGGUUUAUCCAAGGUCCCUGAUUUUAUACGAGACGUCCAGAAGCUGGUCCAUUUAGCCCCAAAGUCCCUGUGUGGCGUCGACCUGUACGAUGGUAUCCUAAUGAGAUACGUAACAAGGUCCAAUGCUUUUUUAGGCAAACAAGAAGAUGCAGUCGACUUCGACAUCACUUACUACAGAAGCAAAGACCCCCUGAGGCCUCGACUUUUCCAAGACAUACUGGAAGAGAUAGAGCAGCUCGGGAUGUUCAAGUACGGAGCGUUGCCACACUGGGGAAAAAACAGGAAUGUGGCAUUUCACAAGGCCAUCAACAAGUACAAAAAGGCAGCAGAAUUCAUAAAGGUUAAGAGAAUGUAUGAUCCUCAGGGACUUUUUUCUAGUGAGUGGACUGACCAAGUUUUGGGGUUAAAAGAUGGACUAAUGAUAGUUAAACAAGGAUGUGGCCUGGAAGGCUUGUGCAUUUGUUCAGAAGACAGUCAUUGUGCACCAGAUAAAGGAUACUUGUGUCAACAAGGCAAAGUCUACCCAGAUGCCAAGGUUUGUGCAUUAGCAUCUACAUCUAGUUAACACUAGUAUUUUCUUACUCCCUCUGUCCCAUUUAAUUGUAUACGUUUCUUUUUAACUGCUCGACACGCAUUUCAAUGCUCUUGUAAAACAUAGUUCCGUAACUUAUUUUUGAGAUUUUCUAUUUUUGAAUAAAAAUAUUACAUCUAAACUUUAAUUCAGAAAAAUAAAAUUUUAAAAAUAAAUUAUACAACUACACUUUAGAGGAGCAUUAAAGUCCGUGCCGCGUCCCCAUCCCCCAAUGUAUACUACUCAGGGGGACGGAGGGAGUACAAGUUUAAACGAUGUGGCCAUUAUUCACCCUAAACCAGCUUUUUCAUUGUAAUUUAAAAUCAAAGUUAUAAAAAUCGGAAAUCAUUUCGAUUGUAUCGUUUAGAUCAAAUAUUUGACCCAAUUUUUAAGUACUUAUUUUCAAUAUCCAAGGACUCUUGAACAUCGUCAACUGCCCAUGCUUUUAUGGUAUGCUUCGGUGGAAGUUGUUUAUAAGACUAUACACAUGUUUGUUUGUUAAACAUUUUGUCUCUAAAAUAGCUAUUAACCAAAAAAAACAAUCAACUAGUCAAUUUUUUGCAAAAAAACCUUUAAACUUCUAUUUUCAUUAACAACCCCAAUAAAUUUUAUUAAAAUAUAUUAAAAAAAAUACAAUAUAAAUCAUGGUUAAAUCUGCCGAUCUGACUUGUCAAGUAUCUUUCCUAAUUUAUAUCUUUUUAUACACGUGAGUGCCAUGUCGUGCUUAUUCAUUAAUAAUAAUAAUAAUUUAUCCUUUAAUAAUUUAUAAUAUUCUAAUUUCAUAAACCCAUUGAAUAUCGAGAGUUUCAUCAUCUUUAUCAAAAUUACGCUUAUACAAACAAAUUUGAUUUUAUAUGAUUGCUAAAUCCUGGAAAUGAUUAGAACUUCUCGGUGACUUUAAUGUUCAUGAUUAUAGUCACGAGCAAUCUGCAAGGCAUGUAUGUGAUUUUGAAAGAGUUAUGCACACAUACUGGAGAUAGUAUUCACAGAGAAUCGGAGUAGACCUUUGUAUAUGAUCAUGUCUUUUAGUGAGAACGUUGUGAAAUUAGAUUUUAAAGAUUGAAAAUCAAUAGACAUAAAAUCUGACAUGUUGAACUUACAACGCAAGCCAGCAAUAUCAUAAUUUUUCUUAAACUUUGUUAAUUUUGAAUUCAUUUAUCCAGUCAAAUUUCAAGCGUUCACUAUAAUGAUGUAUAAUAGUGAAGUUACUGUGUGUAUUAAGGAACUGCAUCAUAGUGAAUUACCAGAACAAUGCUUGCUGUAACAAGAAGGGGAAAGGUAGCACUAAUGGUGACCAACCCAUCUUAAAGCUGAUUUUAGUGGUGCUGAUAUAUUUUUCCGUUAUUCUUACUAUUUUUUGAUUAAUUGUAAUUAAUCUGUCAUAUAAGAUAUAAUAUGAUCAUGGUUAGUCCACGUCAGCUGUAAGCAACUCUAGUUAAUUUUUUUCAAAGAUUUAGUAAAGUUUAUUGAGGUUAUUAGUGAAAAAAAAGGUAUAAAAAUUAUUUGGCAAAAAACCAAGUUAGUUGGAUUUUUUGAUUAAUAGCUCUGUCUAAAAAGAUAUUUCCAAUUUGCUUAGUAUUAGUGUAUUACCAAUAAUCUAAUUCAUUUAUCAGGAAAAAAAUCGUUUAUCUCGUUUCCUCGCAUGAAGUUUACAUUUACUUUGCUACUACACUAUUCAGUGGCCCCAAACAGUUUUAUUUUCUUCAUUCGGAUACUAUGGUGCUUAAUGCUUCAUUUUCAUAUCAAAAAGUACUGGGAAUGGAUUUAAAGAUUCGAGUUAUUUAACCCAGUUUUUUUUAGGUAAUAAUGCAUGAAGGACUUUUUUUUUAUUAUGUGGGACUGGGAUAAUUUUUACAUAUACGAAAUAAUUAAAGAAACUCGGGUAGAAUAUUUUGUAAACUAGACUCUUCUUUGUUAUCUUGACUUGAUGACGAAUAAAUUUAAUAUGAUGAAUUCGUUUUAUGAUUAAAAUUUAAUCAAGUAUCUUUAAAUGAGGUAUUAACCGCGGAUUUAAGAUUUUCUAAAAUAAUUUGUUAAACAUUUGAUUAAUAUUUAUUAAACAAUAUUUUAUAGAAUUAACUAUGUGACCGUAAGUUAUACAGAAAUCGUUUACUUUGUCUGAUAAUAAUUUGCACUUCCUUUCAAAGUAUUAUUGUUUUGAUAAAAAUAUAAAUUGUGGAUAUUUUUAGGAUAAUUAAUGUAACGGUCUUUUGAAUUGCCAAAAAUCGUAAAUAAUACAUGGUUGCCAUAUAUGCAUAUAUGUGCGAAUAUUACGGAUGCCAGAUGCUCUGGGAUGAUAUAUUUUUUAAAGGAAACGUAGCUGAAUAGCCUAAAUGGGCCUGUAAGGAUAUAACGACUCUAUUUCAGGAAGGGAGUUUAACUUAAGAAGCAGCUAAAUGGGCUUCAAGUGGAUAAUCCAGUUUAUAAUGGAUCCAAAUUGUGAAAAACUCGCACCCAAUUUGCUUGAUCACAAACUUAGGCAGAAAUCAAAAUAUAUUCGAAUCAAAUGGGCCACCUCCGGAUUAGCCCGUCAUUCAAUACAUAUAUUUUCACGACAUUGUCUCCGUCUCUUGCUCGACAAGUUAAAGAAAAGGCAGAUAUGUCAUGGCUUUUCUGUUUCACAUACAGUAACAUAAAAUAAACAUUUUAUUGAUUCAACAAAUGAAUACUUUUCUUGUUAUUCACUUCUCAAAAAUCACCAGCAGAUGAUUACAGGUUAGUAAAGCUUCAAUCUCUAGUUGUUUUUUUUAAUAAAUCUUUAGUUCUUUUUCUAUUUGUAUUUGUGUAUCUAUUUUCUUGGCUUAAAAGUUGGAAUAUGAUUAUGUGUUUUUGUGUGUGUUUCAGUGUUUAUGAUUUGGUUUGAAUUCUGGGUUUUAGUUAUUUAGUUGAAUGGUGUAGUAAGAAUGGCUGCUUUGAGGUUAGCCAAGAGUAGAUCACUAGGCAGUAGUUGCUUUAGUUUUGGUAGGGAUUUGAGCAGAAUUGAGACUAGGGUUUUGUUUAGUUUGAUGAAUACUUCUAGUUUCUGUACAAAUUCAUCUGGGUUUGUGUUGGAUAAUAUUGGUGGUAAAUUUGAUUGUAAGGGGGGGAAGGAUUUAGGGAGUGAUAGGGCAAAAUGGUGUGGUACAUUUUCCGCAAUGCCUGUGAGGUUAGGGAGUAAUGUUUUGGGUUUUGGGGGGAGUUUUGGGAUGGUGAGUCAGAGGUUGUAUUCGUCGAAUGCUGUGGGUGGGAAUGUGGAUAAGAGUGGGGGUAGUGAAGUUGGGGUUAGUUCGGGUGGUGUGGAUGUGAGUGAUGGGGGUUUUGGGGGAGGGGACUGGGUCGAGAAGGUUAAGGGUGCUUGGAAAUCUGUUAUUGAUGCUGGGAAUUAUACUGGGGAAAAGGUUAAGGAAGUGUCUGAUGAACUUAUGCCUUAUGGUCAGCAGUUGCUUGAUACGCAUCCUUAUCUUAAGGAUGUCAUUGUGCCAGUGGGAUGCACUUUGACGGGUACAAUAUUGGCUUGGUUUGUGAUGCCUAAGGUUUUGAGGAGAUUUCAUAAGUUUUCAAUGCAAGGGCCUGCUCAACUGUUAUCGGGUAGCUCGUUAUGGGGUCCGGUGCCAUAUGAGAGAAGUUUUUGGGGGGCUCUGGAGGAUCCACUGCGAUAUGUCGUUACCUUCAUGGCGUUCUCCCAAAUGUUAGCACCCCUUCCUUCUUUUUUACUUUUAAGUCAGCAUGCUUAUUUUGACUUUUGAAAUUCUAUCGUUAAAAUAUUUGUUUGUUUGUUGUUGUUUUCUUUAUGUAUACAGCGCAAAUAUGGUAGCACCUACUACAAUUGCAUCACAAUACAUUUUACAGACUUGGAGAGGUGCUGUUAUUCUUUCAGUUGUAUGGUUCCUGCAUAGAUGGAAGACAAAUGUCAUUUCUCGUGCUUUAGCCUCAAAGAGCUCACAAGGACUAGUCGAUCGAGAUAAGCUGUUGGCCAUUGACAAAAUAUCAUCUGUUGCUCUAUUUUCGCUUGGUUUAAUGGCUUUAGCUGAGGCAUUUGGGGUGGCAGUGCAAUCGAUACUUACUGUUGGAGGCAUAGGAGGCAAGUCUUACAUAAAAAAAAUUAUGCUCUUCACCUCAAUAUAAUUUCUGUAUGUUAAUUUAAAGGUGUUGAAAUAUACGCAGGACGUGAAACUGUUUGUUUAACAUGGACGGAACACUUAUGUCACUGAUAUAUUAUUCUUUAAACUAGUUCAUUUCUUAUAAUUUCUCAUGAUGAUCGUUUGGAAUGGCUUAAGUCGUAUAAUUUAUAAUGUACACGCCAUCAAGCAAUAAUUUAAGUUUUUGAAGAUGAAUUGAGUUCUGAGUUGACAUGAAUAUGUGCUUGUGCAGGAGUUGCUACUGCUUUUGCAUCAAAGGACAUUCUGGGAAAUGUUCUUAGUGGGUUGUCUGUACAAAUGUCACGGCCGUUUUCAGUAGGAGAUACAAUUAGAGUAAGUUAAAUUUGUUAUGUGAAUUUAGUUAUAGAUCUUUGUUUUUUGUUGCCAAUUCUAGUAAUGAUAAUCGAAGGUUUUUUCCUCUGAAUUUUCUGAUUACCCUCAUAAUCAUUUGAGUCCAGUACAAGUAUUCUUACUCUUUUACUACAUAAUCAUUGGUUAACUUAAGAAACCAACUUCUGCAUUCCAUAUCCAUCUACAGUAUUAUUUUGAUGAAUCAACUGGCAUUUAGUUCAGAAGAGAAUUUGCAGUUUUCCUAGGCCUUCUUAUCUUGCUCAGUCUAAGAGGCAAUUUAAAUGGGAAAAAGUUUCAUUGAGCAAUCCUAUCAUGAAAUUUCAGAAUUAUAAGGAAUGAUGAAUUAGUAACAGGCUAGCUGCUGAUAUACAGUGAUGAAGGCUGUAGUUUCAAAAAAAGAUAACUGAGCUCUAUUUAUUGCCUAAAAAAUUGUUAGCUCAGGAAUAAUUUCUUCUUGUGGAUAAUAUUUGUGUUUAUACCAUCUUAUCACCAUUGUAACAUCCAAAGUCAAGCUCUUAUCCUCAACCCAUAGUGUCUUUAAGAUGAUGUACUCUCAGAAGAUUAGAUUUAAAUCAUAACCUAUGUUUGCUUUAAAACCCCUCUCCUAAUGAUAUUCUAAGAGGUUACUGUUUUCCUGCAGGCUGGAUCUGUGGAAGGUCAGGUGGUAGAAAUGGGACUUACAACCACCAGAUUGUUAAGUGCGGAAAAGUUUCCUGUUAUAGUUCCGAACUCACUCUUUUCAAGUCAGGUUGGAUGUUACCCUCUUUGUCACUUAUUUGUAAAUGCUGCAUUUCUGCAACUGUUAUGUGGAAUUAUCAUCGUCAAACUAAACUUGCUAUUUACACUCAUAAUCUAGCAUACAUUUGGGUCACCAGGCUGCAUAAUAAUGACAAUACUCACAAUAGUACGAGCCUAAGAUAAAGUUUGGUGCAAUAUAAUUGGCUAUGGCCAGCGUACCAAGAUUAAACUGUUUCUCGAUUUUCUUGUUAGUUGGUUGUAGAACGUGAAAUAUCUUUUCCCAGACAUUCAUUUGUGUCGUAAUUAAUCCUAGAUUUAUUAUGUCGCAUAUCUUCAUCAGUACUGCUAGCCUUUAAUAUGUUCUGUUAAGAGUACUUCUAGUAUUCUGGCACAUUGCCUUCAGUAUGAUAUGAUUUUUAUCCGCAUAUGUGUUACUAUGGUAUAUAUAAUUUGGUAGUAACAUGUUUCCGUACCCUGUUAUGCUUUUAUGUCUUUUGUAGGUUAUUGUGAAUAAAUCACGUGCUGAAUGGCGUGCUAUGCUCACUAAGAUACCUUUACAUAUCAGUGAGUUUGACAAGAUUCCCCAGAUUUCAGAUGAUAUAACGAAUAUGAUCAAAUCAAACUCAAAUGUGUUCUUGGAAAGGGAAGUACCUUAUUGUUUCUUGUCUAGAGUGGAAAGAUCUUAUGCAGAACUGACUCUUGGCUACAAUCUAAAACAUAUGGUAUGUUCGUACUGUUUUCUCAGGAUAAGAAAAUCACAGGUCACAAUUAGGUUAUUGUUUUAAAGCUUGCCAGUUACUGUUACAAUCAACAUUGCACUUUCUUGUGUUUUGGUUGGCAAGUAUAGUAAGGAUUUAUUUUUAAAAUGUUACUUUUUGGCUGAUGAAUCCGGCAUACAUAGAAGAAGAAAAUGGCUAUUCAGGUUUAACUUGGACUACAAGGAUUAAACCUACUAAGGAUAAUCAACCCAUAUUAUAUGACUCAAAACAAUAGCAUCUCUAAUAUUGCUAGGUAAUUACUUAUCAAAAUGUUCUGAUCAAAUAAAAUAUAUUUUCUUGAACCUCUUUUGAAUCCUGUUCUUUAUGUGAUUAUUUUCACUACUUGAGCUUUCUGCACACAGUUAUUCUCACAGCUCUUUCUAGUCUCAAUGCAGUGUGCUAGAUACAUCUUUCCUAAUCUCAUCACCACUUAAUAUGUAUGUAUAUUUGACUCCAUUAUAUUGAUUUUCGGUUGUGGUUCUAGAGGAAAGACUUGUUAUGCGCAGCAGAGCAAGAUAUUCUCCUGAAAUCCGUCCAGAUUAUCCAGCAACACGGUGCUACACUGGGCAGUACUUUUGAAGAUUCGAUUGGCCAAUGAUUCCACUUCCUGUGUUUUUGGUGACCAGCUACUGUCUCACUGAUACUGUAGCAUGUACAAACAAUCUCGAGUUUAAAGGUUUAACCUGAUCUCUAUAGUAUCUCUUACGUGAGUAGUUAUUUAGACUUGAAGCAUGAGUUGUGAUGCAGAAAGUGUGGGUUCAGCACUACGAUGAUAUGAACGGAGCUUGACAGUGUUUGUUUUGUGUUGAUCGCUUUGUUCAUACCAAAGUAGUUGUGAGAUUAGUGUGAUGGUUACCUUUUGUGAGAUUAUUGCAAGGGCUACCUUAAACCGCAAGAAAAUGAAUCUCUUUUUUGACAUUGAGCUGAUACAGCCAUAUCACUGGAAGCAUUUAUGCAUUCGUUAAUAUUUAUUAAUUCGCGGCUUCCCUUGUAACACCUUAUCUAAUUUAGGUCCGGUUUGGUAUUGUUGUUGAGAUAGAAAAAUUGUUUUGUAAAUUUAAAAGUAGUUUUUUCAGAGGAGUGAGUCCCGUAAAGUUGCUCGUGUGAUUUUGCAAUAACACGUCAGUUUUUAACGGGACAUGGAUUUUUAUCGUAUUGUACAUGGGUGGGAGGUUGUUAAGACAAUUGAUGACUAGGUUCCACUCUUUGUCUAUUUAGAAAUUAAAAAUUUUAUCAUCGUCCCUUUAUGCACGAGCAAAAAGCUUCAUCUGCAGCUUCAAAUGUUAUAAUAUUGCAGCCUCUUGGUCCCCGAUGAAAUAAAGAAUUGUUCUUUAGUGGACAUAAUCAUCACCUUAUAUCUACCUGCAUUACUCAGCUUGAUCAAGGGUCGUUUUUGGUUGUCUUUUACAUGUAAAAUUGUGGAUUUUAAGAAUAUUCAUUAUACCGAGAUUUAACUAUUUGUAUAAGAUAUAAGUGGGGGAUAAAUACAAGUGGAGGCAUGUUCACCCGUGAAGUGGGUCGGCAGUAGUGGGGAUGACUAAAGGAGGUGGUGGAGGAGGAGGAGGAGGAGGAGAGAGGCUCACGAGAAGCGAAUAUUAAGCUACCCAUAUAAUUACCGUCAACGGGUCCCACUGAUAUACUUUCCAACUGAAGAAUUCCAAAACAACUGAUAAACUACACAUGUUUCGCAGUAUAUUUAAUUUUAUUAAUCACAGAUGCACAGAGGACACAGUUGCUUUUUGUUUUUUUACCUUUUUUUUAUCGAUUCGAUGAAUGAUAAAGUUGAUGGUGAUUUUUUUUUUUUCAGAGAUUGUCAUUGUUAUAAAAAGUUCUGUUAAUUAAAUUACACAAUCUCUGUUUUUUAUACAAUGUUUUGACUUUUGACAUGCAUAUUUAGGUUGGUUGAUCAGUAAAAUUAUUAUAUUUAGUCUUUUUAUGAAUUAAAAUUUUGAUAUUAUAUAUUUUUAUUUAAAAUAUAAAAUUUAAUUAUAUGAUUAAAAUAAUUAAAAAUAUGUGCCAAUAGUCAAAAUGAAUAACAGAGGGAGUGGUGGUCAUUGCCCAAAGGUGUUCGCAAGAACAAUAUUCAAGCUUCGAGUCAAUAAAAACACUCGAGCAUUUUUGGCACUUUUCUAGUUCAUUGCUUACAAGUUUUGUAUCUUAAUUCUUAAGCUUGUUUUUAUUUAAUUAUGAGAAUACGGCAAGUGAUUGAUGUAAAUUAAAUUUGAUCUUCGAUAAAACCUUCUCAUCCUACUUUUUUGUAUGAAUCCAAGAAUUCUUGUUAUAUGACAUUUUAGAGGAUUUAAUUUUCGGAGAAAAAAGAUGCAAAAGAAUGACACAACCCCAUGAAUGCUCGCUCAACUGCUCAAGUAAAAAGCAUAUACUAGUGGUCCAGUUGGUGCUGAGUCCUAUAAAUACUCAUUUCUGUGUAUGCUUUUAGUUAAAAAAACAUUCCAUAUCACAUUCUCAACAAUGGGCAUAAUGUGCAACACCAGCUUUAACAAGUACUCUCAAGUAAGAAACAAGGUGUUGGUGUGGCGGUAGAGCUCUUGUACCCCCUUGCGGGAGGUCGGGAGUUCCCCGUGUGGUGCGAAAAAAAAAAAAAAAAAAAAAAAAAAAAAAAAAAAAAAAGAAACUCUACGAAUAGGCUUCACCGCCUAGCUUCUUCAACUUUGUUUAAUCAUGUGUUUUCUACUCACAGGUGAUGAAGACGAUAUGGGUACUCGUUGUGUUGAUGGUGGGAGUGGUGAAUUUAAGAGGAGCCGAAUGCAGAAAAGCCAAGAAAAGAGUGGAGAACACCUUAGAGUACAGUGCCAUAAGUUGCAGAGCUCACAGUGCAUCCAUAACGGAUUAUGGAGGCAUUGGAGAUGGCAAGACAUCCAACACCAAGGCCUUUAGAGAAGCCAUCUCUCAUUUGAGCCGGUACGAAGCAGACGGGGGAGCUCAGCUCUUUGUUCCUCCUGGACAAUGGUUAACCGGAAGCUUCAACCUCACGAGCCAUUUCACUCUUUUUCUACACAAAGACGCUGUCCUCCUUGCUUCCCAGGUAUUUUCCUUGGUCCCUGCUUCCGGGGUGGUCCUGGCUAUAGACGAACUAGCGUUGUGCCCUGUGACACGGAAUGUAAAUUAAAUUUUGAAAAUGGAUUGUUCAGGAAAUUAGUGAAUGGGCGGUGAUUGCACCCUUGCCAUCUUACGGUCAUGGAAGGGACACCGCAGGUGGAAGGUACAUCAGUCUCAUUUUCGGGACAAACCUCACGGAUGUUGUCGUCACAGGCAAGCCUUAUUAGAUAAACUUUAUGAUUGGCUUCUCAACAAUAACUCGUAUAUCUCCUAACAAGAAACUUGAUGAUGAUCAUGUCAAACCAGGUGAAAAUGGCACAAUUGACGGCCAGGGUGCUCUUUGGUGGCAACAAUUUCAUAAGAAAAAACUGAAAUAUACACGACCUUACCUUAUUGAAAUCAUGCAUUCUGAUAACAUUCAGAUUUCAAAUCUUACAUUUCUAAACUCCCCGUCAUGGAAUGUUCAUCCUGUUUAUAGCAGGUAUGUAUGGUUUUUGAGUUUUGCUGCGGAAGUUAAAAGAUGACUCUAGUCUGAUAGUCACAUACUCUUUAAACAUAAUUUGCAGCAACAUCAUUAUCCAAGGGAUUACGAUUUUAGCACCCGUCACAUCUCCAAAUACGGACGGAAUAAAUCCAGGUUAGCAGAGUUUACCUGUCUUUAACACAUUAUGCUGAACAUCCUCACCAAGCAAAAACGUUUCUUUUUUCACCUACAGAUUCUUGCACAAAUACGAAAAUUGAGGAUACCUACAUUGUCUCUGGAGAUGAUUGCAUAGCUGUUAAAAGUGGUUGGGAUGAAUAUGGUAUAUCAUACGGUAUGCCUACCAAACAACUGAUCAUCAGACGGCUGACAUGCAUUUCGCCAUACAGUGCUGCCAUUGCUUUAGGAAGCGAAAUGUCAGGUGGGAUUGAAGAUGUCAGAGCCGAAGAUAUCACAGCCAUUAACACAGAAUCAGGGGUCAGGAUCAAAACGGGAGUGGGGCGGGGAGGUUAUGUGAAAGACAUAUACGUAAAAGGCAUGAACUUGCAUACAAUGAAAUGGGUGUUUUGGAUGACAGGAAACUACGGCUCUCAUGCUGAUUCUCACUAUGAUCCUAAAGCGCUACCAGUGAUUCAAGGGAUCAAUUACAGAGACAUUACCGCAGAGAAUGUGUCAAUGGCUGCUCGACUUGAGGGCAUUUCAGGCGAUCCAUUCACCGGGAUAUGUAUAUCUAAUGCAACGAUAGGUUUGGCAAAGAAGGCAAAGAAGGUACCUUGGACUUGUACUGAUAUUGCCGGAGUUACAAGUGGUGUGCUUCCUAAGCCCUGCAGUUCGCUACCUGAUCAAGGGCCGGAGAAAGUAGGAAUGUGUUCAUUUCCUACUGAUAAUCUACCAAUUGAUGAUGUAGAAAUCAAGAAAUGUUCUUAUAGAAUGGGCUAAAUACAGAUUGCUUCCAUACAGCUAUAUUUCACCUGUGUCUCUAGUACUGUAUAACUAUUUGGAUUGUCAGCAAAGCAUGUUUUAAUUCUUUUCAAGGAUAAGUUAAAGGCUAAUUUGCCCUAAUAUUUACAGGUUAAAAAAACAAAAUUUGAAGUGAUUGCAAUCAUUUUAUACUACCUGUCGAUUUGAAAAUUACAUUUUCACGUGAAAAAAGAAAUAUCAUUUCACCACCAAGGUACAGAGUUAGAAAACUCAACAAAGAGUAACACUAUAAACUCUACUAGUCUACUGCAGCUCAGAAUAUUACAAGGAUGAUAAAAGAAUCGCAAUGUUAAUAGUAGAAACAACUUUUGUUAACCCUCAAUAUAUCCACUCUAUUUAUUUGAACUGUUCUACUUGAGGAUCAUUCUUAAGAUGAUAUUGGCUCUGUAACACCUAACAACAUUCGAUAACACUCACUUGUCAAAUGAAAUUCCUUAAUAAAUCGGGUCAGGAUUGAAUUUCACAGAUUCCCUCCAGAUGAGUUCCUUGAUAUUCUCUUCAGUGCAGGAUGGCUGCUCAAAGUCGAAACUAAAAGGCUGAGGGCAAACAGGCUCCUCAUUUAUGUCAUGAAGGGGUGCCAAGUAUGGGUGGCAAAGUGCCUCAUCAACUGCCAAAAAGAAGAAAAAAAACAAUUGUCAUUACCUGGAAAUGCGAACAAAGAAAGUUAAUUCAGGACAUGAGUUCAAAAUUGCAGGUGCCCUGUUAUUUUUCUUUAAAAGGAUCAUCCAAAUUCUAAAUUCUUUGAAAGAAUGAAAAUAACUAAAAUAUAAGCCAGACCUGUGAUACGCCUGUUGGGAUCAAAGAUGAGCAUUUUCUCCAGCAAAUCUAAAGCUCCUGGAGAUUUGUUAAGAAAUCUAGCUGAGAAUUGUUGCCUUGGAUACUGGGGAAGCUGCCUCACGUAUCUCCGGGCAUUAUCACUUCUGAGAAACCCAAGACUGGCAUCAUCAGGUGAACCUAUGAGCUUUUAAACAAACAAAAAAUAACAUAUGUUGUCACGGCAAUCCAGAUUGCAAGAUGAAAAUCAAAAGCUUUAAACAUUUUUUUCAUUUCCAUAUCGCUAACAGAUAUAUUAGAAGUCAACAAUACACAGUAGUGCAGAACUCUGCAGAACUCCUGAUAACUUUAUAACAAAGGAAACAACUUCAUUACCACUGUUUUUGCAUCUACUAUAUAAGGGAGAUGGUCCCUGACAAAUGAUUGUUGUCAACAAUCUAUACACUGUAAAAGAUCGCGGAAAGGCAAAAACCCUAGAGUGGGUGUCUAAUCCGCGGAUGGGCCUGAUGGGCCCCCUGCUUGCACAUAAAAAACCUAGUGCAACAAACACUUGUUAGGGAGCCAAACCCAUAUAAUAAUUAGUUGACACUACUAAAACUAAAUAUAUAUAUUUUUAAAAGGUUAUGCCCAGAUGCCACAGGCAAACAUAUCCACCUAAACUCACCUACAGAGAAUAUAAACAUAAAGAAUAUGUAUAUGACUACUUGCCAUCGAAUCUCAGAAAACUUGAGCAGAAGAACAAGCAAUUUCCAAAGUUGCAAUAGACAUCACGUGUCCUAGUAAGGUGAUUUGAUUAUUUCCUGAUGCGCACACAAGUAUAUAGCCGCAAAACUAAUAUAACAUAGAGACUAGAAUUUCUGAGAAUGGACUAAUGGUUAAUUUGUAGCAAGUUAAAUACCUCAUUCUUCCUUAACCAGUCCCCAACCCCUCCACAGCUAACAAGAAAAAUAUAUUAAAGGUAAUACCUCAGUAAUCAGUCUCAGCUGAUGUACAUAAUCUUUGCCAGGGAACAAGGGCUGUCGAGUCAUAAUUUCACCAAGUAUGCAACCGACUGACCAGAUAUCAAUUGCUGCAGUGUACUCUGAACAAUUAAGGAGCAAUUCAGGGGCCCGGUACCAACGAGUAACAACAUAUUCAGUCAUGAAAUCAGUUUCAGAAGUUGUCCUUGCAAGACCGAAAUCUCCAAUUUUCAAGUCACAGUUUGCAUUAAGGAGCAGAUUGCUAGGCUUUAAGUCACGGUGCAAGACAUUUGCAGAAUGAACAUACUUCAGUCCUCGCAAUAGUUGGUAAAGAAAAUACUGCACAAGUAACAGAGAACUUUAGACCUCUCCUAUGUCAGAUUCACGCAAUCUGAUUUGGAGAACACAAUCAUGUGAACUUCAGAAUGCUUCUUGUAGCUGACCAUUCCUCAUUGGUUACAAUAAUGCAGAUCAAACUGAUAUACAAAGCCAGUAGCACUUCUAUGAAUGGGGAAAGGUCAAAAUACAUACAUGUUAUACCUUACAUCUUUAUAUUAAAAUACUGAUGAUAUCAUCAGCAGUGUGGAUUUGAAACAAGUGCUACUUCUCCCGUCUUCACUAAUGUUGUAUUUGGUUGGGGUGAAUGAAUAUGGAAGGAAUGGAAUGAAAUUUGAACCAUGUGACGGGCAAUUGUUUAUAAAUUUGGUUCCUUCCUCCAUUCCUUUCCUUACACCCUAUACUAGAGAUCACAUCCCCAAUUUGGGUAGGAAUGCUCCAUUCCCUCCUAUACUCAAUUUCAUCUCGAAUCUCAUCAUAACAAUUUUGCACUCACUCAUUCUUUUCCAAAAUUUCCCUCCUACCUCUAUUAGUUUAUUAUUUUAGUCAUUCCAUUCCAUUCUCCUCAACCAAACACAUGAUAAGGGUUUCAUAUUUUAAGUCUAAAAGGAAGAGUGGAAGACACUUAAUAUUAAGUUUUCGACCAAUACAUGUAAAAUUCAGAAUGCUUCAUUGGUCACCAAUAGUACAGAUCACGCUAAUAUACAAAGCCAUCAUCACGAGUGGGUGAAGGUCAUGAUACAUUAAUACAUACAUGUUAGCCUUGCAUUUUUAUGUUUUAAUACUGAUGAUAUCAUCAGCAAUUAGGAUAUUAAGCAAGGGCAACUUCUCCUGUCUACACUAAGAGUUUUCUAUGUUAAGUCUAAGAGGAAGAGUGGAAGACACUCAAAUACUCAAUAUUAAGUUCUCGACAGAUACAACUUACAAGUGUGUCAUACUGUCAUCACAGUUCACAUAGAUCUAGUCUAAAGGCCUUCAUAAACAGUAGCUAGCUUGAAGGUUGUCAAAGUAGACCAAUAGUUGAUGAUCACUGAUCAGCCUAAUCACAAUAAGUCAAAGUUCUACCAGUCAGCCUGACAAUUAUUUCUUAUAAAUAUAUUUCUAUUAAAAUAAGCGUUAUGCACGGAAAUAGAACUGUUGGCUAAAUGUAGAUCGGGGAAUGGUGAGAGGUGGCAAAUAAAGCAAGCACAGUGCAAUGAGGACAGGACUGAGUUUCACUGCGGCAAUGAGUUUAUUUCAUUGUCAAUUUUAGUACUUUAUGAGGUGUUUUGUAAACUAAACAUGAUUCCCAGGCUUGUCGAAUCAAAUAAGUACAAGAAUAUGGCAACUAUAUAAGAAAAAAUAUUCUGUGUGAACCAAAGUGUGAGGUCAAACCCGACAAUGAUCAUCUGUAAGUUGUUGGUUAGAGCGAAUUAUCUGAUGAAGAUCUGUGUCCAUUAAUUCAUAGACAAUGUACACAUCAUUAAAAGUUUCCUUCUGUGGAGGCCUUAUGAUGUCUUUGAUGGCAAUUACCUGCAAUUGUUAAAAAAUACAGAAAGCUGAACUUUAAACAUUCUUAAUUUAUUAGCUGGAUUUGUAAAUCAACAUGAAGAAUAGUAAAAUAUACUCCAGUGGUUAGUCCACCAACUAGGCAAUAGAAUCAGUACCAAAUGAAGGUCUGCUAUCUUCAGGUUAUUAACUAUGAAGUUGAGCAGGACUUACAUUUUCAUGAUCCAUGUGACGAAGAAGUUUAAUUUCCCUAAGCGUCCUCUUCGCAUCUAUUCGAUUGUCAAAUGCAUUACCAAUUUUCUUGAUGGCAACUUCCUCACGAGUAUCAGAAUUCAUAGCGGCACUGGAGCAAUUAACAAAACAAUUUUGUUAUAUGGUGUUGAUUAGAAAGAAAAACAAGUCGACAACUUUAUACACAGACAAUAAAAAAUAUUUCAUGGUGUCACUCACUGACACAAGGCAUACACAGUCUGGUUCAUCGAUGUAUGUAGAAUCCAAGAUACCAUGUUUGUUAACUACUACCUCCGUCCCUAUUUAUCUGUCCACUUUUAACAUUUUCACGCAUAUUAAGAAAAUUUAAGUUUGAUAAGAAACUUCUAUCAAUACCCUUAUUUAAUGCCUUAAUUGUAGGAAAAUACUAGUGGGAUUACUCGAUUAUCAAAUACAAAUAUGAUGAAUCAGUGAAUAAUAGUCAUGAUAUUUAUAGCUUGAAGAACAAAGUCAAAGACUUUGCAGGUUAUUAAAUGCAAAAUUUUGCUUUGAUUAUAUAAAUGGACAGAUAAAUAGGGACGGAGGGAGUAAUAUAUUAUACUCCCUCUGUCCUUUUAUAGUCAGCAUUUUACCAACUUUGUAAUGCAUAUAAUAUUUAUUAUAUGAUCAAGAUAACUCAACAAAAGGAAUAUAAUAAGAAACUGCAUUUAAUGCAUCAUAAGAUUCUGUUUUUCAUAUUUAGAAAGAAAUUAAAAAAACAUACUUUUAAUCUUAAUAUAUAAUUGGCCAAAUUAACCAAAAUACCAAUAUGACAAUAUAAAUGUGACGAUGGGAGUAUUUUUAACUAAUGUAACAUCAUAUACCAUUUAAAUGAUAUCAAAAGCUUUGAUUGUAAAAAAUGGCUAUAGAGAAUUAGAAUAAAUAAAUGGAAAUAUAAAAUUAGGUGAAAAACAUUUUAUUUUUUUGGUAAGGUCGAUCUAAAAAAAAUUAAUAUUCACGCGCACAUUCCUCUCCACUGAGACUCGAAAUUUUGACCAUUGAUAACUAAGAAUGACGGAUAUGUGCUGGAUUUGAGGACAGAAUGAAUUGACGAAAGUGAAAAUGGACAUGAAGGUGACAACCAACACUAAUACCAACUGACUAAUAAGGUGACAUCGCGAUAAAGUAAAUAUGUAAAGAACCAAGGAGGGACAGAAGCAGCUAGUAAACUGCAUGAGUCACCAAAAAAGAAAAGCAAUUAUGGUGCUAUCAUUCACAUAAUUAUACAUCGAUUAAUUAAUGAGCACCAUAUGCAUAUGCAGUCUGAACUUUACAGCAUUGAUGACAAAAAAAGAGUACAAAAGGGCUUUUAUCAACGUGAUUACACGGUAACAACUUGCUAAUAAACAGCUAACCUAAUCUCAAAAGCUUGAUUCCUGCAGGGCACUUAAUUCAUUAGACAUGUGCAGUCUCAGUGCAGUCACGCGGACAAAAAACUAGAUUCUAAUCAUCAUGAUAACAGAGUUCAAGCACGACUUCAACUACAAUCUAGCUUCCACUCAGUAUAAUCAUCACCAAAAUCUACUUAAUUUGGGGAUUUAGGUCUAAGCAUAGUUCCACCGUAAAUCAGAGUCAUUACAUGAAACACAAAAACAGAUCAAAUUUCCCAAACAUCCAUCAACUUCCACAAGACCAAGGCAAGUCAAGUAAACUUAACAUGAAGUCAUUCACAAGAUUUCAACAGUCUAACCACAUUUGACAUCUAAAAAGUACUUCCAAAUUCCAAUUCAAGAACUAACCAACUAAAGACACCAAAUCACAAACACAUAAUCAAGAUUUACUUCCUACUUAUAUCACACCGUUCAUCAACAACUAGAAGCACAAAUACCAACUAAAUCAAGAUCAAAAUACAGUAAAAAGGAAGAGAUUAUACCAGACAAUCCCAUAGGCCCCACGACCGACAGGGCGGAUCGGAGGGACAUAUUUUCUUGAAACCUCAAAGAGAUUGCCAUACACAUUGUACUGAACAUAUCUUCCACCAUGAGUUGGAACUCCUUUAAUAUGUCCAUGAUCAGCUGCUGCUGCUGAGCUUGGUUCCAUAGAUUGAAAUGAAACAAACAAAGAAAACCCAGAAAAUAAAAAAACCCAACUUGAAAAUAAAACUCUAUAAAGAUUGGAUUUUGGAGAGACAAAAACAAGAACAAGGUGCUAACUUUGGGGAAAAUGCAAAAAGAGGUUUGUGGGUUGCUAUGGAUUUAUGGUUUUUUGACAUUUGUUUGGGGGAAUAUGGUGAAAAUUGAUAAUGGAUUCUGACCUAUUUUUUGUUCUUAUUUAUUUUAAAAGAAAAAAAAAUCAAAACAAAGGAAAUUUACAGGAAAAGAGGAGAGAGAAUUGUAAAAAAGAGAAGUCUUUUUGAACUAAAUAUGACAUGAUUAUCCGUGAAGAGGGGUUGAUAAGUUUCAUGUGUGAAUGCAACACUUUACAUACAUGUGUAGUUUUUAUGGAAGGUGAUAAUGAUGUAUACACUUGUCAUACAUUUUUUUAGAUAUGAAUCAAAUUUUUAGAUAGAAAUAAAACGGGUAUAUACGGGGAAAAGGUGUGAACGUGGUUAAAUAGAAAAAAAUGAAAAAAAUAAGUUUCAAAUAUGAAAAAAUUGACAUGGUUAAAUAGAAAAUUUUAAUCAAUUCGAUUUAAUAUGAACGGUGGAAGGGUCAAUUUCAUUUUUAAUUCAUAUAAUAAAUACAGCAAAUCAGAUCACGGUGUGUGAUAUUCUCAAACUUUUUUGUGAAUCCCUUUGAAGUUCUACUAUUUUUCAAAUAAUUAAUAUAUUUAUAUGAUAUGCUAUUAUAAAUAUGAAUAAUAAAUCUUGCCGUGAGUCUAACGAGGAGUAACAUAUAUUUUAUGACAAAGUUGCAUCAAGGAGAGAAUAUGUAUUCAGCCUCGAUAAAGUCCUGUACGCAUUUGUGUACCCAGUGCAAAAUACAUCUAACAUAUAAUUUAAUAAAAUCAAGCUGCUUCACAUAGACGAGAAAGAGACGACCUAAGAAUACUGUAUAUAGAAUGUGGUAAUUCACAAUACUAGGGGAUUGAUUUUCUGACACACUUGUAAAAAAGUACUCCCUCCGUUUCUUUUUACUUUGCUCAUUUGAAAUGUCGGGACUGUUCAUAACAUGAGACAAAUGAUUAAUUUACGCCAAAUCUAUAAGACCAAAUAUAGUCAUGAGUGAUCUUGUUAGAUUCAUAUUUAUGAGUAUUUUAAUACGAUAAAAUUUGUAUAUUUAAUACUAAUAUAAAACUAAAGAUAUUAACGAUAAGAAGUGUGCGUUGGCAAACGUGUCCAAGGCAAACAGGAAAAGUAAUAAGAGACGGAGGGAGUAUUGACUAUAUAUAAUAAUUAUAUUUAAUAUCUUAUUUUUUUCUUCAAAAUAAAAGUUUAAAUUUAUUCUCAAAUUUAUAAAACGAAAAUUUGAAAAAUAAUAACUCAGAUCAAUAUACUUAAAAAUAUGUAUCAUAAAAUUAAAUACUACUAUUUAUUUGAAACAGAGAGUAGUCGCAGAAAACCAGUUUCCUCUCCAUUUCUUCCACAAAUUCAAAGAGAAAAGUCUUCAAGACAAAUGCUUGCAAUAACCGAUUUACCAACCAACACUAAAAGAUGGACAAAGUCAGAGCUGGCUGCCUUGCCUUGGAAUACCAUAAGAAAGUUGAAUGACCAAACACCAAGUUCAGUUGACUUAGAAUGUUUCCAGGCCAUUGUUUCUCCUCCAUUGACCCAAAAAGAACCUUUCUUGGGUGUUUUCGGUGUUCGGUUUAUAGGUCACAUUCCAAUGAAUGACUUGUUACGCGAAGAUGAUUAGUUGAUUAUAGCAUUAAGUUAAGAAUUUUCGUAAAAUUAAGAAAAUCUCAGGACAAGACUUCAUAUAAGUAUUAUUAUAUUAUACACGUAGUACUUAUUUUGUUUUAGAACUUUCUUUUUGACACAUAUUUUUAUAUCUUUUGACCACACUGUUAAAUUAAUUUUUUUAAUUUUCAUUUUCUGAAUUAUAAUAUUAAUCAUAUAUUGUAUUUUUAAAAAAAUUUGAAAAUAAGAAUUUAAACUAUCACUUUAAAAAUUUUAAAAUGUGUGUCAAGAAAUAGAAUGAGCAGUUAAUUGAUGUCACCUAAAUCUUCU